GUGGCUGUGGUGGUGGAGCAUAAGGAAGCGGGUAAGGAGUAUCCGGUUCAGCGGCCGGUUUACUACGUCAGCGAAGUACUCAUUGAGUCCAAACAACGGUAUCCACAUUGGCAGAAGCUUGUUUAUGGGGUAUUCAUGGCAAGCCGGAAGCUUAAGCAUUAUUUUCAGGGUCACCCUAUCACUGUGGUUAGUUCUGCUCCCCUAGGAGAUAUCAUCCAAAACAGAGAAGCCACAGGAAGGGUUGCUAAGUGGGCUAUAGAACUUGGGCCUCAUGGUCUAAAAUACGUGCCGCGCACUGCUAUCAAAUCUCAAGCAUUGGUGGAUUUCAUCAACGAUUGGACAGAGCUGCAGGUGCCUGAAGAGAAGCCGGAUAAUACAUACUGGACUAUUCACUUCGACGGGUCCAGGCAAUUGGAGGGCUCGGGGGCUGGAGUUGUAUUAGCUUCCCCUCGAGGUGACAAGUUUUGCUAUGUGCUACGGUUGAUGUUUCCCUGUACUAACAAUGCGGCUGAGUACGAGGCCUUGCUCCAUGGUCUU
rnacentral:rRNA from 1 species